GGCAGCCCGGCUCCAAAUCUGAUGCUCCUAACCUUUACAUAUAUUACAGAUUUUGAAAUCUAUGCCUUCCAAACAAUGAAUAUUUAGAUUCUACUCCAGGAUAGGGAAGACUGAAGACAGCAUCAGAAAGUAGCAUACACAUCUUUUCUUCAAGAGUCUUUUAAAUGGAUACCUUAAUAAGUAUCUCAACUCUAAUUUUUUGCCAAGGCCAUUUUUUUAGGAUGUACAACUGAAAAUUUUCAAUGGGGGUGGAAAGACAAGCUCAUUAACAAUUUACAAAAAGCUAUAAUAAUAAAGCUACUAGAACACAGUAUAUCUGAUGAAACUAUA